rnacentral:SRP_RNA from 1 species
AUAUGGGGCCUGUGCAACAGAAUGCCGCGAACCAUGUCAGGCGGGGAACCGAGCAGCAUUAAGCGGAUGUUUUUGUGUGCCGCAGUUCACCCUGUAUAUC